rnacentral:rRNA from 1 species
GGAAUUGCUAGUAAUGGCAGGUCAGCAUACUGCCGUGAAUACGUUCCCGGGCCUUGUACACACCGCCCGUCACACCAUGAGAGUUGGGAAUACCCGAAGCCUGUGAGCUAACGUUAAGAGGCAGCAGUCGAAGGUAGAAUCAAUGAUUGGGGUGAAGUCGUAACAAGGUAGC